UCUACUAUGGCUGCAGUGCUGCCGUACCAAUUUGAGCCUGAGUCGGACCCCGAAAGCGAUAAUGGAGCUGAAGACGCUAACGACGAGCGUGAUUUUAGUCGUAGAAUGGACCAGGACAUUUCACAGUGGUGCACCUGUGGGAAUUGUGCCACUAUGCCCAACGAAGUGGAGAACGUCUGCUGUAGAGAAAUCCCAAAGGUACUACGACGAAUGAGCCAAGUGCCAGAAUCAAUUACCUGUAUGACACAACAUCCAGGCCUGGAGCCUGUGUGUCUAAACAUAUACA